rnacentral:rRNA from 1 species
CAAUCCCUGAGUAAAGUGGCGUACGGGUGAGUAACACGUGGGUAAUCCACCCUUUAGUGGGGAAUAACCCUGGGAAACCGGGGCUAAUACCGCAUAAGCCUGAGAAGGGAAAGCAGCAAUGCGCUGAAGGAGGAGCCCGCGGCCGAUUAGCUAGUUGGUGAGGUAACGGCCCACCAAGGCGAUGAUCGGUAGCCGGCCUGAGAGGGCACACGGCCACACUGGCACUGAAACACGGGCCAG